UAUGUUAUCGGAAGUACGGAGCCUUCCGUGCUUCCAGUUCGUUUUCGAUGUUGCGACUUUCGAAUCGUCGAUCGGCUCCGUUAAACUUGAUCUAGAGUAUUUGAAGUACCUAGAAAAUAAAUUUUAUGAUUUUACGAUAUCAUUUGCCUAGUGAUCGAANAGUAUUUGGAGUACCUAGAAAAUAAAUUUUAUUAUUUUUCGAUAUCAUUUGCCUAGUGAUCGAAUGGGCUCAAAAUCAACAAAUUUCAAUGGCCGUAGUGAGCCGUUUGUAAGUUUAACGGUGUAGAAAUAUCCAAAUCACGUGAAAUUUUGAUAGAAAAUUUUUUAUACUAUAUAAAACAAGAUCAAUAUCUUUGAUUUAAAAUUUUAAUGUCGUAUUAUUACAUUUUGUAAGAUUUUUAUUUUCAGUCGUUGAUUUUGAGCCCCUUCGUUCACUAAGCAAAUGAUAUCGUAAAAUCAUAAAAUUUAUUUUCUAAGUACUUCAAAUACUCUAGAUCAAAUUUAACAGAGCAGAUCGACGAUUCGAAAGUCGCAACAUCGAAAACGAGCUGGAAGCACGGAAGGCUCCGUGCUUCCGAUAGCAUAGUAGCCUUACUCUAUACAUAAAUACUUUGAAUAUUGUAAAAAAAUA
rnacentral:lncRNA from 1 species